rnacentral:lncRNA from 10 species
GCCUGGCCUUUGUUGUUUAUAAGCCAUCUAAUUUAGGGUACGUUAUUAUGGUAGCCCAAGUGGACUAAGACAAGGAUCUAAAGCCUUCUCUCAUGUACUGUUUUAAUGACUUCCAUAACUCAACAUCAGAGAAAGUAUCCAGAGAACAUGAGAAAAUUAAAGUUUUGUGGAGAAUGAAAGUGAGCACAUGAAUAAUUUCUCACCCCACGCAAAGGGUAUUUGCAACCUCACUGUUUUAUUUGUUCUUUACCACAGCUUUGUGAUUUUGGCACAUUUUUUCCCAUUUCUUUUGGUGAGAAAAAUGAAGCUCAGAGAGAUUAAGUGACCUGUGCAAGAUUGCCUAGCCAGUAAGGGUGGAUUCUACGCUGCUCAUGGUAAAUCUGGACUCUUCUCUGUGACAGUCUGCCAAACACCUGGUUAUGCAUCCUUCCUUGUCAUUCCUGAAGUGAAAAAUGAAGGCAAGAAAUGCUCCUGAAGUGAAGAAUCAGAAGACACUAAGGAUCAUGUGAAAGAGCUCCCUGAGGACAGAUUAAGAGGAGAUGAGUUAAAGCUGCAAAUACCAAGAUUUAAGAUGAAAUUAAGAAUGCUGAUCAGCUAAAGGACCUUCACAUACAAAGGUUAUCCUGGAUUAUUCAGGUGGGCUCAACGUAAUCACAAGGAUCCUUUAAAGUGGAAG